CAAAGAAAUAUGUAGUAACUGUAGAAGCCUAAUUUAGGUUCAAAGUAGCACCAUGGAAUUAACUAGUCACGCCUGAGACUGCCUGCAAGGAGUUACCAACUGAAAACCUAGAAGCAGCAGUACAAGUGGAGGAGAAGUGUCCUGGAAGAGGAAACCUGCACUCAAGGGAUAGAAGACGAAGCCCAGAAGAGUGGAACAAUAGGCUAAGCUUAGGACAGAUGGGCAAAAAAGCAUCAUUGAAUGACAAAGCUGAAAAGGAACUGGAUAUCAGGGAUCACAAACCCAAAUGCUUACAGGGGCUACCACACGGAUAUUGGACAAGAGGACUUAAGACUCUGAAAGGUAACAGCAGAAACAACUUCCUUCCACCCUGUGUGUGUCACUGUCUACAGCAGCAUGGAGAAGUCAGGCGAGUGUUUCCCAUAAAUUCAGUGGGAUUCUUAUGGUAACCGUGGGAAGAAGAGAGUGC
rnacentral:lncRNA from 1 species